AGUGAACGCUGGCGGUAGGCCUAAUACAUGCCAGUCGAACGGCAGCACAGUAAGAGUUUGCCCUUACGGGUGGCGAGUGGCGGACGGGUGAGGCAUACAUCGGAAUCUACUUUUUCGUGGGGGAUAACGUAGGGAAACUUAUGCUAAUACCGCAUACGACCUACGGGUGAAAGCAGUGGAUCUUCGGACCUUUCGCGAUUGAAUGAGCCGAUGUCGGAUUAGCUAGUUGGCGAGGUAAAGGCCCACCAAGGCGACGAUCCGUAGCUGGUCUGAGAGGAUGAUCAGCCACACUGGAACUGAGACACGGUCCAGACUCCUACGGGAGGCAGCAGUGGGGAAUAUUGCACAAUGGGCGCAAGCCUGAUCCAGCCAUACCGCGUGAGUGAAGAAGGCCUUCGGGUUGUAAAGCCCUUUUAUUGGGAAAGAAAAACAGCAGGUUAAUACCCCGCUGUUCUGACGGUACCCAAAGAAUAAGCACCGGCUAACUUCGUG
rnacentral:rRNA from 1 species